GCUCAUCUUCCAUGCGCCUUUUCGGUCCGAUCUCCGCACAACUCCCCGACCGGAACACCGGCAAGAAUCCAUUAUCCCCAUCCUGCCCCGGAGACUUCAAGCCCAAUCCACCAAUCUCCAAUUCCGCUUCUGCCGAUCGCCCCAAUUGUGCGCUGCUCGCACAAUGCCGCAUCGCCGGGAGGCACCGAGGCGGCUUCCCCGCCUUCACCUUG
rnacentral:misc_RNA from 1 species